CACGUAGGGGGCGAGCGUUGUCCGGAUUUAUUGGGCGUAAAGAGCUCGUAGGCGGUUCGGCAAGUCGGGUGUGAAAUUUCGAGGCUCAACCUCGAAACGCCACUCGAUACUGCUGUGACUGGAGUCCGGUAGAGGAGUGCGGAAUUCCUGGUGUAGCGGUGAAAUGCGUAGAUAUCGGGAGGAACACCAGUGGCGAAGGCGACUUCCUGGCCUGUUCUUGACGCUGAGGCGCGAAAGCUAGGGGAGCAAACGGG
rnacentral:rRNA from 1 species